GGCACCAUCAGACAUCGCCUACCAAGAGCCUGGGUCUGUCCCAGUUUUCUCCCUAAAACAAAGUUUUUCCUCGCCACUGUCACACUAAAUACUUGCUCUUGGGGGUAUUACUGGAAUUGUUGCGUCUUUGUAAAUUAUAUAGUGUGGUCUAGACCUACUCUAUCUGUAAAGUGUCUUGAUAUAACACUUGUUAUGAUUUGAUAAUAUAAAUAACAUUGAAUUUAA